rnacentral:rRNA from 1 species
AGGACGAACGCUGGCGGCGUGCUUAACACAUGCAAGUCGAGCGGAAAGGCCCUUCGGGGUACUCGAGCGGCGAACGGGUGAGUAACACGUGAGCAACCUGCCCUUAGCUCCGGGAUAGCUCCGGGAAACCGGAAUUAAUACCGGAUACGACCACGGCCGACAUCUGCUGUGGUGGAAAGGAUUCCGGCUAAGGAUGGGCUCGCGGCCUAUCAGCUAGUUGGUGGGGUAAUGGCCCGCCAAGGCGACGACGGGUAGCCGGCCUGAGAGGGCGACCGGCCACACUGGGACUGAGACACGGCCCAGACUCCUACGGGAGGCAGCAGUGGGAAUAUUGCGCAAUGGGCGAAAGCCUGACGCAGCGACGCCGCGUGGGGGAUGAAGGCCUUCGGGUUGUAAACCCCUUUCAGCAGGGACGAAGCGAAAGUGACGGUACUGCAGAAGAAGCGCCGGCUAACUACGUGCCAGCAGCCGC